GUUCUCACUUCGGCAGCACAUAUACUAAAUUUAGAAUGACACAGAGAGGAUUGGCAGGGUCCCUGAGGACAGAUGACAUGCAAAGUAAUGACAAAUCCCUUGAGGCU